GGAAGGGUGAAAAGUACCCCGGGAGGGGAGUGAAAGAGUUCCUGAAACCGGUCGCAUGCAAGCCGUCAGAGCCUGUGUGGUGAUGGCGUGCCUUUUGAAGAAUGAGCCUGCGAGUUAGUGCUAUGUGGCGAGGUUAACCCGUGAGGGGAAUCCGUAGCGAAAGCGAGUCCUAAUAGGGCGAUUGAGUCGCAUGGUCUAGACCCGAAGCGAAGUGAUCUAUCCAUGGCCAGGCUGAAGCGCGGGUAAGACCGCGUGGAGGGCCGAACCCACUUGGGUUGAAAACCGAGGGGAUGAGCUGUGGAUAGGGGUGAAAGGCUAAACAAACCUGGAAAUAGCUGGUUCUCUCCGAAAACUAUUUAGGUAGUGCCUCAAGUAUCACCAUCGGGGGUAGAGCACUGUUAUGGCUAGGGGGUCAUCGCGACUUACCAAACCAUUGCAAACUCCGAAUACCAGUACGUACUAUCCGGGAGACACACGGCGGGUGCUAACGUCCGUCGUGAAAAGGGAAACAACCCAGACCCACAGCUAAGGUCCCAAAUUCACUGCUAAGUGGAAAACGAUGUGGAAAGGCAUAGACAGCCAGGAGGUUGGCUUAGAAGCAGCCACCCUUUAAAGAAAGCGUAAUAGCUCACUGGUCGAGUCGGUCUGCGCGGAAGAUUUAACGGGGCUAAGCAGUGAACCGAAGCUUGGGGUGCGUAAAACUUCGGUUUUAUGCGCGGUAGAGGAGCGUUCCGUAAGCCUGCGAAGGUGGAUUGAGAAGUCUGCUGGAGGUAUCGGAAGUGCGAAUGCUGACAUGAGUAACGAUAAUGCGGGUGAAAAGCCCGCACGCCGAAAGCCCAAGGUUUCCUUGCGCAACGUUAAUCGACGCAGGGUUAGUCGGUCCCUAAGGCGAGGGCGAAAGCCGUAGUCGAUGGGAAGCAGGUUAAUAUUCCUGCACCUCGCGUGAGUGCGAUGGAGGGACGGAGAAGGUUAGGUGUACCGGGCGUUGGUUGUCCCGGGGAAAGGCGGUAGGUUUGGAUCUUUGGCAAAUCCGGGAUCCUUUAAGACCGAGCACCGAGACGAGCCUUUAUGGCGAAGUCACUGAUACCACGCUUCCAGGAAAAGCUCCUAAGCUUCAGCUCACGAAGACCGUACCGUAAACCGACACAGGUGGGUAGGAUGAGAAUACUCAGGCGCUUGAGAGAACUCGGGUGAAGGAACUAGGCAACAUGGCACCGUAACUUCGGGAGAAGGUGCACCCUUUUUGGUGGCUCAUGCGAGCUAUAGCUGAAGAGGGUCGCAGAAACCAGGCCGCUGCGACUGUUUAUCAAAAACACAGCACUCUGCAAACACGAAAGUGGACGUAUAGGGUGUGACGCCUGCCCGGUGCUGGAAGGUUAAUUGAUGGG
rnacentral:rRNA from 1 species